rnacentral:rRNA from 1 species
UACGAAGGGGGCUAGCGUUGCUCGGAAUGACUGGGCGUAAAGGGCGCGUAGGCGGAUUGUACAGUCAGGCGUGAAAUUCCCGGGCUCAACCUGGGGGCUGCGCUUGAGACGUGCGAUCUUGAGUGGGGAAGAGGGUCGUGGAAUUCCCAGUGUAGAGGUGAAAUUCGUAGAUAUCGGGAGGAACACCAGUGGCGAAGGCGGCCUUCUGGCUUGUAACUGACGCUGUAGCGCGAAAGCGUGGGGAGCGAACCGG